GUGCAGGCAGGAAGUGACGCGCGUGGCCCGGGAGCUGCAGACGCGGAGGCCGACGGAGCCGGAGUCGCGGACGCCGCGGGGUCUCCGGGACAGGAGCCCCCAGUGCUGUGUCCAGAUUCUGCAGGGGAGGUUUGCUGGGACCCAGGGCCCACCCUGCCAGUGGAAUGUCAGCCACACUGGAUCUGAAAUCGAAGGAGGAGAAGGAUGCUGAGUUGGACAAGAGGAUCGAGGCUCUUCGGCGGAAGAAUGAGGCCCUCAUCCGGCGCUACCAGGAGAUUGAGGAGGACCGGAAAAAAGCUGAACUGGAGGGAGUAGCAGUGACAGCUCCCCGGAAGGGCCGCUCAGUUGAGAAGGAGAAUGUGGCGGUGGAAAUGGAGAGGAACCUGGGUCCCUCCCGGAGGUCUCCAGGGACCCCUCGGCCUUCAGGGGUCAGCAAGGGAGGCCGGAUCCCUCCUCAGCACGGAGGCCGGGCAGGCAUGGGCCGGACAUCCCGCAGCUGGGAAGACAGUCCCAGGGAGCAGCCUCGGGGAGGUGCUGGGGGCCGCGGCCGGAGGGGUCGGGGCAGGGGGUCCCCUCAUCUCUCUGGAGGUGGCGAUGCCUCGACUGCUGACCGCAAAUCCAAGGAGUGGGAGGAGCGGCGGAAGCAGAACAUUGAGAAGAUGAACGAGGAGAUGGAGAAGAUUGCAGAGUAUGAGCGCAACCAGCGGGAAGGUGUGUUGGAGCCCAACCCAGUGCGGAACUUCCUGGACGAUCCCCGGCGACGCAGUGGGCCCCUAGAGGAGCCUGAGCGGGACCGCCGGGAAGGCAGCCGCCGGCACGGGCGCAACUGGGGGGGCCCUGACUUCGAGCGGGUGCGCUACGGCCUUGAGCAGGAGCGGCAGGGCCGCCGGGCCGGCCUGGGCGGCACCGGGGACAUGACGCUCUCCAUGACGGGCCGAGAGCGGUCCGAGUACCUGCGCUGGAAGCAGGAGCGGGAGAAGAUUGACCAGGAGCGUCUGCAGAGGCACCGCAAGCCCACGGGCCAGUGGCGGCGGGAGUGGGAUGCUGAGAAGACUGAUGGCAUGUUCAAGGAUGGCCCAGCUGUGGCCCUAGAACCAUCCCACCGCUAUGAUGACCAGGCUUGGGCCCGGCCCCCCAAGCCACCCACUUUCAGGGAGUUCCUGUCCCAGCACAGAACUGAGGUCAGCCGCAGAAAGAAGAAGAGCAGCCGACCCCAGCCUAAGGCAGCCUCCCGUGCCUAUAGUGACCACGAUGACCGCUGGGAGACGAAGGAGGCCGUGUCCGCAGCUCCCGAGCCCCCGCAACCUGCUCCCCCCAAGGAGGCGCCCACGCAGCUGCCUGAGACCCCGGCCCCUGCCCAUCGGCCUCCUGAGGAUGAGGGCGAGGAGGGCGAAGGCGAUGAGGGCGAGGAGGGCUUGGAUGAGGGGGAUGAUGGGGAGGAUGAGGAGUGGGAAGACGUGAGUGAGGAUGAUGAGGAGAUAGAGGAAGAAGAGGGGGCUGAUGAUGAGGAAGAAGAGCCAGCUGGAGAUCACCAACCCGAGGAGGCUGAGCCCAGCGGGAGCCCCACCAGGGAACACGGUGACAAAGAGCCCGCCAGGCCGGAAGAGCCCCUGCCGCUCCCCCAGGCCCCUGCCACGCCUUCCAGCCCCUUCUCGCCCCCCGGGGGCCAUCAGCCUGUGUCCGACUGGGGUGAAGAGAUGGAGCUGAAUUCUCCCCGGACUGCCCACCCAGCAGAUGCUGUCUCUCCGGGAGGUGACCAGCCAGCCCCUGCCUCCUUGGAGAGUGGGCCCAGCGCCCCAGGAACCCAGAAAGCUGAAGAGGAGGGGUCUGAGGCAGCUCCAGAGGCAGACCCCGAGGGCCAAGAGACGGCAGAGAUCGCCGACUUCCAGAGGGCCUCCCCGAAUUCCUGAAGACGCUGCUGGGAGGGGACUGACGCUUCCCCGCCUUGAUGGGGAGGGGGCGGCAGGAGGGGUUUAGUCUGGAUCUCCGAGCUGUGCUCUAUCCUCCCUGGAGCCCGCUUUGGACCCCAUGGUUUUAGUGAGGGAGAAAUUGAGGGUGGUGGGGGAGGAGAUGGGGAGGGGGCGUGACUGGGGUGUGGGGCGGAGCUGGAGCUUCGGGGUCUGAGUUUAGACCUGAAGACACAAAAUAUGGAAGGAAGGAAGAGGCGCGUCCAACGAAGGGCGUGGUUAGGAUGUUUGGGGCCCGCAUUGUAAUGGAGUUAAAAACAAGGAAAGGUGUUAGGAAGUGAGGUGGAACCACAGCGCGUAUUUAGAUGGGAAUCCCUAACGCCGGUGUUGGGCGCAGCCAGCGGCAGAGAGCUUGGUUUAGAAUGGGGUGCUCAAACUAGUGGAGUGAGGAGGAGAAAAGAAGCGGAAUCUGGAUUGAAGGCAGAUGAGGGUAGGGGGAGAAGACGGUGGAAUCGAAUGCUAAAGGUAAAUUACAACUGGGACAGGACUUAAAAGGCCUGAGCUUGGCAAGGGAGCGGCGGAGCUAGAUGCAGGGGAGAAGUCUGAGUUCCGAAAGGGGAUGGGUAGGGCGCGGGGAGGAGGAGAGAAGAAGAGAGCGGAGGUUAGCUCCGGGGCGGGGCAUAACACCGAAGCCUGGUUGGAGUCGGCUGGGCAGAGACCAACAUUUGAGAAAAAGCGAGCCCCAGCCGGCCCGCCGCCCAGCGCGCAGUCCUCUCCGUGCGGCGCCCGCGCGGGUGCGCUGCCUGCCCCGGCGCCCGCCGCCGCCUCGGUCUCUUGCCUCCUGGGAGCCCCUGGCGGGCCGAGACCCCAGCUCGAGCUGCCGCGCAGCCGCCGCCGCCGCCGCCGCCACAGUGACCCCAGCCGCCGCCGCCCGAGCCGCCAGACGCUGGGGAAGACGCCGGAGGCCGCGGCGGGGCGAGGACCCGGGUAACCUUCCUUUUCACCCAAGAUGGACCGCCACCUUUCGAGAGCCCGGCGCCCUCCGCGGAUGCGGCGGUCCCGAAUUGGUGUCUGGCUCCCUCUUCAUGACAUCGUCUAGCAUCUGCGGAGUCGUCAUCCUGAAGAAUGGGGGGCGAAGGGGAGCCGGCUCUGGUCCUCGCUCCUUGCAGCUCCUCCGCCGUCAGGCCGGGUCCUUCACCAGGCAGACCCCAUACUGGUCACUGCCUCCUGCUCCUCCCGCCGUAGGGUUCUCUGCACGGAGCCCUCAGCCGGCCCCUCUCCUCCCUCCCUGAAUCUCCGUGUGCAUCUAUCCACCUGCAAUAAACUCCAGCCCCAGCUGC